rnacentral:lncRNA from 1 species
CUCCAAAGUUCUUCUGAAGUUCAUAGGAUCCUAGAGCAGCUUCUCUGAUUCUUGAAGCUUCUUUCUCUUACCUGGUGUUCAAAGGAGGAACGGAAGAAAUGUCCCAUCUAGUCACCUCAGUAACCUCACUCUGCCCGGCAUCAUCUCUGCUCCAUUUACUGCCACAACAACGACAACUUUCCUACUCUCAAAGCCCCCGAUCUCUAAUCCCUACUGUGGUCUGCGGUCCACUUCACAGCGGAGUCACUUCUGAGCUCAGAAGCAGAAAUGAACGUUGAGUGGCUCCUGUGAAAAUAUGUUCAGAUGUGAAAGUUCACCUGCGUUGCUAAACAGGGAAAUGACUCCUUCUUCUCCCGCUGUGGAAUAUGAAAUGGGGCUAAUUUGCCUUAGAUACUGGAUAAGGAUAACCCCAGGACACGUCAGAGCAGGAACACAAAAGGACACAGCCUCAGACCUUCAUGAAGAAGAUUUCCCACCUCAGCUCUGAUGUUAUAUAUAUGGGAAAUAAACUUUUACCUUUUAAGAGCCAUCAUCAUUUUGUGUCUCUUAUUCAUAACAGCUAAACCCGA